GCUGCUGUCACCUGUCAUCACUGCUGGACAGAUGAUUUCAACACAGACAUUACAAGUGGUCCAGCCUCUUCAUAAGCCUGCAGUAAAGACGCUGCAGCUUGUGAUCACUGGUGUCAUGAGGACAAGGAAUGGCAUCUCCCUAACAGGACUCAAGAGCCUAUGCCAUCAUCUGUGGUAUUAAGCAGGUUUCAAUUAGGAUUUUAGGUGGAUUUCUGCUUUGUUCUGCGGAAGUUUUAAUCAAGGCAGAAAAACUCUGGCACUUCACUCUCCUCACAACAGUCAGUCACCAAAGCUUUGCAGUUUUCUUCCUGAAGCUUCCCCUCCCUCGGGCACAUUUUUAGCAAAAAGAUGCAAUCCUAAGCUCUCCAGAUGUUGCCUCUCAGAUGUGCCUCAGCACGCAUCUCAGAGCCAUCUGGCCGCAGCAACAGCUGGACUGCUUCCAAGUGGAAGUGCUCACAGAUCUAGCUGUCCUGGGCUGUCUUUCUCCACGGUAACAGGCAGAGGGAGCCAAGCAGAGAUGGGAGCUCUAGGAGAUUUUCCCACUGAUGCCCCCAGGCACCCCAGCCCUGGGCAGCCUCUUCUCAGACUGCCAAGGAGCCACUGUUGCCAUUGAUGGCCUCAUCCUGUGAGAACAACCAUUCGGCAGGCACCGGCUACACGGACUGAGAAGCUGAUAACUGAUCAGAGUCAAGCUGAGCCUAUCAACCCCUUUCCAUGUCCCCAGAGAUAAACAGGAGCAAACCUAAGAUAAAACACCACCGAGUGCACUUCCCUGGGACCAUUUCAAGAGCUUCAGACCUCUGGAAACACAUAUGUGAACCAGCAGGAUGGCCACAUCACCCAUAGGGCAGUAGAGGUAGAUGCCAAAUGCAGAGAAACUGAGUCAUAAAUGUCUGUAACUCUUCCUGUGGGUGUGAGGAACCUGUCUCUCAACCCAGCUUGAAUGGGAUUUGUUUCUGCAACUGGAAUAAUCUUAAAUCAUCCAUUCUGACACCAGAGACUCAGCACUUUCAGUUUCAGAAUUUCAUCAUGAUGGUGGGAAACAUGGCAGCAUGCAGGAAGACAUGGUACUGGAAGAGCCAAGACUUCUACAUCUUGAUCUGAAAGCAGCCAGGAAGAGGGACUAUCUUCCAUAGGGAGCCAGGAGUGGACACUCUUCCACAUUGGGUAGGGCCUGAGCAUAAGAGUCUCAAACCCCACCUCUACAGUGACAUGCUUCCUCCAAUAAGGUCACACCUACUUCAACAAGGUCACACCUCCUCAUAGUGCUACUCCUGGGCCAAGCAUAUUCAAACUAUCACAAAUAUGAAGUAGUUGGAUGUCAUUUACAAUGAAGGUUGAAACUUAUCAAAGGGAAUAUAAGCCAAUUUCCUCCUGGUGAGACACUAGAUUUUAUAAAUUUAUUUUUAGUUUUCAUUUGCUCUGUUACAAUAACUUGACGUUAUUGGGAGGUAGAACCUGGUUGGUUGAAGUAGGACACUGAGGAUGUAUCUGGACCCAUGUCCCUGCCCCUCCCACUUUCUGAUUACUGUCCGUCACAAGUGGGUGCCUUACCCUAUCACAUAGUCUUACAGCCCUGAAGUUUUGACUCACCACAGGCUCUUCCUCUAACUGAGCUGACAACUCACACCAGUACCCUGGAGAUGGACUUGGGGUUACUGGAACCUCUGUCUGGUCCUCCUCCCAGUGCACAUUGAUGAACUCACCCAUUUUUUGUUUUUUACCAUUGCCUCUCUCUUUAAUCAGUGUACUGGGGAUGAGUGGCCAAGCAGAACCUGAGAUUUUGCCCUAGAAUUCUUGUUACAAAAGUUCUAAAACUGUGAGAUAAAUCUUUCUUUCCAGCUG